rnacentral:rRNA from 1 species
GAUGAACGCUGGCGGCGUGCUUAACACAUGCAAGUCGAACGGAAAGUCGCUGCUUAAGUGGGGUUUUCGUGUGGCGAGCGUGAGUGACACGUGAAGAUCUUGCCUCCCUGCUAGUGACAACACUUGGAAAAGCAUGCUCAUACAUAAUAUAAUAAUACUAGCGCAUCGUAGAGUUAUGAAAACUUUCAGCGGUUGGGGAUGGACUUGCGGCCUAUCAGCUUGUUGGUGGGGUAGUGGCUUACCAAGGCUUUGACGGGUAGCCGGCCUGAGAGGGUGACCGGCCACAUUGGGACUGAGGUACGGCCCAGACUCCUACGGGGGGCAGCAGUGGGGAAUAUUGCACAAUGGGCGGAAGCCUGAUGCAGCAACGCCGCGUGCGGGAUGACGGCCUUCGGGUUGUAAACCGCUUUCGCCUGUGACGAAGCGUGAGUGACGGUAAUGGGUAAAGAAGCACCGGCUAACUACGUG